CCUACGGGAGGCAGCAGUGAGGAAUAUUGGUCAAUGGCCGGAAGGCUGAACCAGCCAAGCCGCGUGAAGGACGAAGGUGCCCAGCAUUGUAAACUUCUUUUGUCAAGGGACAAAAUCAGGCUCGAGAGCCUGACCGAGGGUCCUUGAAGAAAAAGCAUCGGCUAACUCCGUGCCAGCAGCCGCGGUAAUACGGAGGAUGCGAGCGUUAUCCGGAUUUAUUGGGUUUAAAGGGUGCGUAGGCGGGCUGUUAAGUCAGCGGGAAAAGCCCGGGGCUCAACCCCGGCGAGCCGUUGAAACUGUCUGUCUUGAGAUGUCGAGAGGUAUGCGGAAUGCGCAGUGUAGCGGUGAAAUGCUUAGAUAUUGCGCAGAACUCCGAUUGCGAAGGCAGCAUACCGGCGGCGAUCUGACGCUGAAGCACGAAAGCGUGGGUAUCGAACAGGAUUAGAUACCCCUGUAGUC
rnacentral:rRNA from 1 species